UUUUGUAAAAUUACAGAUACAGAAUCUCAAAGCUGGGGGGAGAGACAUCCCGGACUGGGUGACGUGAGCAAUGCACCGAACCCUGAUAACCGGCCUCAUGUCAACAAAGAAUAUGAAAGGGAAGAGUGCUUUUGAGAACUCCAACCUUUGCAGACAUUAUAGCAGGUGUAAGUCUUUGCGAAUCAAUGCUACAGAGGCAAACAUAGUACAGGCAAUGCCAACCUGCCUGAAAUAUGCACCUAACCGCAAGGGAGGCAGUGGGAGGGCCAAUGAGUAAGGGAAUGGAAGAGCUUAAGAUGUUCAGCGCAUCAAGCCUGUUCCGACAGCACUUUUUUGUUUAUUAUACACUACCGUUCAAAAGUUUGGGGUCACUUAGAAAUGUCCUUGUUUUUGAAAGAUGGCUGAUAUAUGUUAAAUUGAACAUCUACAUAGGCUUACAGAGGCCCAUUAUCAGAAAACAUCACUCCUGUGUUCCAGGAGUGCCCGCAACACACUGCAUUGACAAUCCCUGAUGAAUUCAUGGUGUGUUUUGAUCAAAUCAGAUCACAAUGUGUUCUUAACCUCACUCCAAUAUUUAAAUGUAGUUGAUUAUUAUUUGAGAACUGUUUUCAAACUUGAUAGUAAUGAAAUAAAAAUAACUAUUGGCUGUGUUUUUGAGUGGGUGAAUAAAACCAAAUAGCGCAACCAAAUAUUACUGGCAUUUCCAUGUUGAAAUGACAUGGUGUGCCCAGUGGGAUAUCUCUUUCUGGCACAAGCAAUGGACCACUAUGGGGAAUGUGAAGGAGAGCCCUUCACUAUGGACAAUGUGACUAUUUUAAAAUAUGGAUUCAAAGUAUUUAUUUACAUUUUUAAACUAUAGAUUAUUGGAUGCAAUGUUAUGUAUUUUCUCCACCAAUUCAUCAUUCAUUUAAUCCACAACCUGUGUUUUCUGUCACAUCCAAACAUGUCCUGUUGUAUUGCAUUGUUCAUAUUGCCUAAUUGGUGGGAGUGCCUGCUUGGCACAGGUGUCUGCAAUGUGAAAUCAGGGCCUGUGUGUUUCCUUAAAAGGUGUUUUUCCUGACUCUGUGGGAGAGCCAUUAGUUUUAGCCACCAGCCAUGUGUGUUUACUUUGUAGUCUGCAGUAAAAAAUAAUACUUUUACA